rnacentral:tRNA from 11 species
GGAGGGAUGGCAGAGCGGUUGAAUGCACUGGUCUUGAAAACCAGCAAAGGGUCAAACCUUUCCAGGGUUCGAAUCCCUGUCCCUCCGCCA